GAUGAACGCUGGCGGCGCGCCUAACACAUGCAAGUCGAACGGCACCCACUCUCGGGUGGAAGCGAGUGGCGAACGGCUGAGUAACACGUGGAGAACCUGCCCCCUCCCCCGGGAUAGCCGCCCGAAAGGACGGGUAAUACCGGAUACCCCGGGGUGCCGCAUGGCACCCCGGCUAAAGCCCCGACGGGAGGGGAUGGCUCCGCGGCCCAUCAGGUAGACGGCGGGGUGACGGCCCACCGUGCCGACAACGGGUAGCCGGGUUGAGAGACCGACCGGCCAGAUUGGGACUGAGACACGGCCCAGACUCCUACGGGAGGCAGCAGUGGGGAAUCUUGCGCAAUGGGGGGAACCCUGACGCAGCGACGCCGCGUGCGGGACGGAGGCCUUCGGGUCGUAAACCGCUUUCAGCAGGGAAGGGUCAAGACUGUAC
rnacentral:rRNA from 1 species